rnacentral:rRNA from 1 species
UAUUCCUGUACUUGGUGUUACUGCGAAGGGGGGACGGAGAAGGCUAUGUUGGCCGGGCGACGGUUGUCCCGGUUUAAGCGUGUAGGCUGGUUUUCCAGGCAAAUCCGGAAAAUCAAGGCUGAGGCGUGAUGACGAGGCACUACGGUGCUGAAGCAACAAAUGCCCUGCUUCCAGGAAAAGCCUCUAAGCAUCAGGUAACAUCAAAUCGUGCCCCAAACCGACACAGGUGGUCAGGUAGAGAAUACCAAGGCGCUUGAGAGAACUCGGGUGAAGGAACUAGGCAAAAUGGUGCCGUAACUUCGGGAGAAGGCACGCUGAUAUGUAGGUGAAGUCCCUCGCGGAUGGAGCUGAAAUCAGUCGAAGAUACCAGCUGGCUGCAACUGUUUAUUAA